rnacentral:rRNA from 1 species
AUUGAACGCUGGCGGCAUGCCUUACACAUGCAAGUCGAACGGCAGCGGGGACUUCGGUCCGCCGGCGAGUGGCGAACGGGUGAGUAAAGCAUCGGAACGUACCCGGAAGUGGGGGAUAACGUAGCGAAAGUUACGCUAAUACCGCAUAUUCUGUGAGCAGGAAAGAGGGGGAUCUUCGGACCUCUUGCUUUCGGAGCGGCCGAUGUCAGAUUAGCUAGUUGGUGAGGUAAGGGCUCACCAAGGCGACGAUCUGUAGCGGGUCUGAGAGGAUGAUCCGCCACACUGGAACUGAGACACGGUCCAGACUCCUACGGGAGGCAGCAGUGGGGAAUUUUGGACAAUGGGCGCAAGCCUGAUCCAGCCAUGCCGCGUGAGUGAAGAAGGCCUUCGGGUUGUAAAGCUCUUUCGGCCGGGAAGAAGUCGCAUGGGUUAAUACCCUGUGCGGAUGACGGUACCGGCAUAAGAAGCACCGGCUAACUACGUGCCAGCCGCCGCGGUAAUAC